rnacentral:lncRNA from 1 species
AUGACUUUUUCUAUUUUGACAAAUCAGACAUUUUGGAACUUAUUUACCAUUAAAAUAGAUCAAUUAAAAAUUGUAACUUUCACAGAAAUAUAUACAAGAUUUCAGGUUCCUAAAAAAGCUCUUCAAUUAUCUCUCUAUCUCUAUCUCUGUCUUUAUCUCUGUCUUUAUCUCUGUCUCUAUCUCUAUCUCUGUCUUUAUCUCUAUCUCUAUCUCGGUCUAUAUCUCUGUCUCUAUCUCUGUCUCUAUCUCUGUCUUUAUCUCUGUCUUUAUCUCUGUCUUUAUCUCUGUCUUUAUCUCUGUCUCUAUCUCUAUAUCUGUCUCUAUCUCUGUCUCUAUCUCUGUCUUUAUCUCUGUCUCUAUCUCUGUCUUUAUCUCUGUCUCUAUCUCUGUCUCUGUCUCUGUCUCUAUCUCUGUCUUUAUCUCUAUCUCUGUCUCUAUCUCUGUCUUUAUCUCUGUCUCUAUCUUUGUCUUUAUCUCUUUCUCUAUCUCUGUCUCUGUCUCUAUCUCUGUCUUUAUCUCUGUCUAUAUCUUUAUCUCCGUCUUUAUCUUUACCUCUGUCUCUAUCUCUAUCCCUGUCUUUGUCUCUGUCUCUCUCUCUCUGUCUCUAUCUCUGUCUUUAUCUCUGUCUCUAUAUCUGUCUCUGUCUCUAUCUCUGUCUUUAUCUCUAUCUCUAUCUCUGUCUCUAUCUCUGUCUUUAUCUCUGUCUCUAUCUUUAUCUCCGUCUUUAUCUUUACCUCUGUCUCUAUCUCUAUCUCUAUCCCUGUCUUUGUCUCUGUCUCUCUCUGUCUCUAUCUUUGUCUUUAUCUCUGUCUUUAUCUCUGUCUCUAUCUCUGUCUCUAUCUCUGUCUUUAUCUCUGUCUCUAUCUUUAUCUCCGUCUUUAUCUUUACCUCUGUCUCUAUCUCUAUCUCUAUCCCUGUCUUUGUCUCUGUCUCUCUCUGUCUCUAUCUUUGUCUUUAUCUCUGUCUUUAUCUCUGUCUCUAUCUCUGUCUCUAUCUCUGUCUUUAUCUCUGUCUCUAUCUUUAUCUCCGUCUUUAUCUUUACCUCUGUCUCUAUCUCUAUCCCUGUCGUUGUCUCUGUCUCUCUCUGUCUCUAUCUCUGUCUUUAUCUCUGUCUCUAUCUCUGUCUUUAUCUCUGUCUCUAUCUUUAUCUCCGUCUUUAUCUUUACCCCUGUCUCUAUCUCUAUCCCUGUCUUUGUCUCUAUCUCUCUCUCUGUCUCUAUCUCUAUCUCUGUCUUUGUCUCUGUCUCUAUCUCUGUCUUUAUCUCUGUCCCUAUCUUUAUCUCUGUCUCUAUCUCUGUCUUUGUCUCUGUCUCUCUCUGUCUCUAUCUCUGUCUUUAUCUCGGUCUCUAUCUCUGUCUUUAUCUCUGUCUCUAG